rnacentral:rRNA from 1 species
AGAGUUUGAUCAUGGCUCAGAUUGAACGCUGGCGGCAGGCCUAACACAUGCAAGUCGAACGGUAACAGAAAGCAGCUUGCUGCUUUGCUGACGAGUGGCGGACGGGUGAGUAAUGUCUGGGAAACUGCCUGAUGGAGGGGGAUAACUACUGGAAACGGUAGCUAAUACCGCAUAAUGUCGCAAGACCAAAGAGGGGGACCUUCGGGCCUCUUGCCAUCGGAUGUGCCCAGAUGGGAUUAGCUUGUUGGUGGGGUAACGGCUCACCAAGGCGACGAUCCCUAGCUGGUCUGAGAGGAUGACCAGCCACACUGGAACUGAGACACGGUCCAGACUCCUACGGGAGGCAGCAGUGGGGAAUAUUGCACAAUGGGCGCAAGCCUGAUGCAGCCAUGCCGCGUGUAUGAAGAAGGCCUUCGGGUUGUAAAGUACUUUCAGCGGGGAGGAAGGGAGUAAAGUUAAUACCUUUGCUCAUUGACGUUACCCGCAGAAGAAGCACCGGCUAACUCCGUGCCAGCAGCCGCGGUAAUACGGAGGGUGCAAGCGUUAAUCGGAAUUACUGGGCGUAAAGCGCACGCAGGCGGUUUGUUAAGUCAGAUGUGAAAUCCCCGGGCUCAACCUGGGAACUGCAUCUGAUACUGGCAAGCUUGAGUCUCGUAGAGGGGGGUAGAAUUCCAGGUGUAGCGGUGAAAUGCGUAGAGAUCUGGAGGAAUACCGGUGGCGAAGGCGGCCCCCUGGACGAAGACUGACGCUCAGGUGCGAAAGCGUGGGGAGCAAACAGGAUUAGAUACCCUGGUAGUCCACGCCGUAAACGAUGUCGACUUGGAGGUUGUGCCCUUGAGGCGUGGCUUCCGGAGCUAACGCGUUAAGUCGACCGCCUGGGGAGUACGGCCGCAAGGUUAAAACUCAAAUGAAUUGACGGGGGCCCGCACAAGCGGUGGAGCAUGUGGUUUAAUUCGAUGCAACGCGAAGAACCUUACCUGGUCUUGACAUCCACGGAAGUUUUCAGAGAUGAGAAUGUGCCUUCGGGAACCGUGAGACAGGUGCUGCAUGGCUGUCGUCAGCUCGUGUUGUGAAAUGUUGGGUUAAGUCCCGCAACGAGCGCAACCCUUAUCCUUUGUUGCCAGCGGUCCGGCCGGGAACUCAAAGGAGACUGCCAGUGAUAAACUGGAGGAAGGUGGGGAUGACGUCAAGUCAUCAUGGCCCUUACGACCAGGGCUACACACGUGCUACAAUGGCGCAUACAAAGAGAAGCGACCUCGCGAGAGCAAGCGGACCUCAUAAAGUGCGUCGUAGUCCGGAUUGGAGUCUGCAACUCGACUCCAUGAAGUCGGAAUCGCUAGUAAUCGUGGAUCAGAAUGCCACGGUGAAUACGUUCCCGGGCCUUGUACACACCGCCCGUCACACCAUGGGAGUGGGUUGCAAAAGAAGUAGGUAGCUUAACCUUCGGGAGGGCGCUUACCACUUUGUGAUUCAUGACUGGGGUGAAGUCGUAACAAGGUAACCGUAGGGGAACCUGCGGUUG